UACGGAGGGUGCAAGCGUUAUCCGGAUUCACUGGGUUUAAAGGGUGCGUAGGUGGGCAGGUAAGUCAGUGGUGAAAUCUCCGGGCUUAACCCGGAAACUGCCAUUGAUACUAUCAGUCUUGAAUACCGUGGAGGUAAGCGGAAUAUGUCAUGUAGCGGUGAAAUGCUUAGAUAUGACAUAGAACACCAAUUGCGAAGGCAGCUUACUGCCCGAAUAUUGACACUGAGGCACGAAAGCGUGGGGAGCAAACAGG
rnacentral:rRNA from 1 species